GGCGGCGGUCUGGGUGGCGCUGGAGGGGAAGGCGGCGCGGGUGAUUGGGGGGGAAGCGCCGGAGGCUGGUAAGCGCAGG
rnacentral:SRP_RNA from 14 species